GAUGAAGAACGCAGUGAAAUGCGAUAAGUAAUGUGAAUUGCAGAAUUCAGUGAAUCAUCUAAUCUUUGAACGCACAUUGCGCCCGCCAGUAUUCUGGCGGGCAUGCCUGUCCGAGCGUCAUUUCAACCCUCGAACCCCUCCGGGGGGUCGGCGUUGGGGAUCGGGAACCCCUAAGACGGGAUCCCGGCCCCGAAAUACAGUGGCGGUCUCGCCGCAGCCUCUCCUGCGCAGUAGUUUGCACAACUCGCACCGGGAGCGCGGCGCGUCCACGUCCGUAAAACACCCAACUUCUGAAAUGUUGACCUCGGAUCAGGUAGGAAUACCCGCUGAACUUAAGCAUAUCAAUAAGCGGAGGA
rnacentral:misc_RNA from 1 species